GAUUAUGGCUCAGGAUGAACGCUAGCUACAGGCUUAACACAUGCAAGUCGAGGGCAGCAUGUGGUGCUUGCAACCAAUGAUGGCGACCGGCGCACGGGUGAGUAACGCGUAUCCAACCUGGCCCUUAGUAGGGGAUAGCCCGGCGAAAGUCGGAUUAAUGCCCUAUGUUCUUCAAUGCGGGCAUCUAAGUUGAAGCAAAGAUUGAUCGCUAAGGGAUGGGGAUGCGUCUGAUUAGGUAGUCGGCGGGGUGACGGCCCACCGAGCCGUCGAUCAGUAGGGGUUCUGAGAGGAAGGUCCCCCACAUUGGAACUGAGACACGGUCCAAACUCCUACGGGAGGCAGCAGUGAGGAAUAUUGGUCAAUGGGCGAGAGCCUGAACCAGCCAAGUAGCCGUGCAGGAUGACGGCCCUAUGGGUUGUAAACUGCUUUUAUAUAGGGAUAAAGUGACCCACGUGUGGGUUUUUGUAGGUACUAUAUGAAUAAGGACCGGCUAAUUCCGUGCCAGCCGCGGC
rnacentral:rRNA from 1 species